rnacentral:rRNA from 1 species
CCUACGGGGGGCAGCAGUGAGGGAUAUUGGUCAAUGGGGGAAACCCUGAACCAGCAACGCCGCGUGAGGGAAGACGGUUUUCGGAUUGUAAACCUCUGUCAUGUGGGAGCAAAUUAAAAAGAUAGUACCACAAGAGGAAGAGACGGCUAACUCUGUGCCAGCAGCCGCGGUAAUACAGAGGUCUCAAGCGUUGUUCGGAAUCACUGGGCGUAAAGCGUGCGUAGGCUGUUUCGUAAGUCGUGUGUGAAAGGCGCGGGCUCAACCCGCGGACGGCACAUGAUACUGCGAGACUAGAGUAAUGGAGGGGGAACCGGAAUUCUCGGUGUAGCAGUGAAAUGCGUAGAUAUCGAGAGGAACACUCGUGGCGAAGGCGGGUUCCUGGACAUUAACUGACGCUGAGGCACGAAGGCCAGGGGAGCGAAAGGGAUUAGAUACCCUGGUAGUC